CAACUGCUUGAGCUAAGAGCAAGCUCAGUGUUUCCUUCAAGCAGCAUCGUGGACAGAUUCCUGCCAGACCCUUCAGAGCAAGCACCCCACACCCCUAGCCCAGGGUCUCUUCAUCGAUAGGGGGUGAUCUGUCUGCCCCUCACUGUUUUCUCCAAAUAGAGAUAAGAUCUCACUAUAUUGCCCUGGCUGGUCUCAAACUCCCGUGUUCAAGUCAUCUGCCUGCCUCGACCUCCUAAAGGGCAAGCGGGAUUACAGCCUUCUCCACAGCCCAGCCACAGUGAGGGAGUCAUCAGCACUGGAACCCGGGGUCCACGGCCUUGGAGGAUCCGGACCCUCCGCAUUUGAGGAACUUGGCCUUCAGUCAGGGAGCCAAGAAGUCCCUGCCAAUCAAGGAGGGGGUGUGGGCUGGUGGGGGGGGGGCAGCCUUGGGGCACGGGAGCUGAUAGACCAGACUCAAGAGUUCUACUCCUGACUUCUAGAUUGUUCCACCUCCAUAUGGAAUAUGUUCCUUCCAUCUAACACUGUGUGAUUUGGGGACCAUCCAACUCAAAUGAAAGAAGCCAAGCCAUGCAGCGAGCCACCCCCUCCCCAAUGUGGGGUACCCCCUGCCCCCGCCCAGCUCCCCUGCCCUCCCAGCUGAGGGGGGAUCGCCGCCUGGUGAUCUCAGCCUCCCCUCCAAGUGGGCUGUGAAGUGUCUAAUCCAGGCUUUCAUCUGGCAUCCACAAUUAUAAUGUCAAGAUUGAAUAAUCUGCCUUUAUCUCCCGGGUGACAGCCAUGUAGAAACUUCAAAAGAAACAGUUUUGCUGGCAUCUAACGGCUUUUGUUAAUUACUAUAUCCCAAAGAAAAUGAAAUAAAGGAGGGAGAAAAAUGAUA
rnacentral:lncRNA from 1 species